rnacentral:rRNA from 1 species
AUUGAACGCUGGCGGCAGGCCUAACACAUGCAAGUCGAACGAGUGGCGGACGGGUGAGUAAUGUCUGGGAAACUGCCCGAUGGAGGGGGAUAACUACUGGAAACGGUAGCUAAUACCGCAUACCAUCGGAUGUGCCCAGAUGGGAUUAGCUAGUAGGUGGUGUAAGGGCUCCCCUAGGCGACGAUCCCUAGCUGGUCUGAGAGGAUGACCAGCCACACUGGAACUGAGACACGGACCAGACCCCUACGGGAGGCAGCAGUGGGGAAUAUUGGACAAUGGGCGCAAGCGUGAUGCAGCCAUGCCGCGUGUAUGAAGAAGGCCUUCGGGUUGUAAAGUACUUUCGGCGAGGAGGCGUUGCCCGCAGAAAAAGCGCCGGCUAACUCCGUGCCAGCAGCCGCGGUAAUUC